UAAAAUGUAAAAUUAAAUUAAAUUAAAUUAAAUUAAAUUAAAUUCAUUCAUUUGGCGCCCUCUCCCACCCUGCACAUAUACUAGUUAACAGGGGCAGCUUCCCCACAGAGCAAGAUGAAGCGAUGGCCUGAAGUGGCAAUUGCACCACAGGAUGAUGGAUGUGGAUACCCUGCCCCUUGCUGUGGACGUCACUCCACCUUCCUGCUGCUGUAGCUCUCCCUCUAUGUUUCCCUACCUUGCUAGCUUGAAGCUGCUCCUCCUUCUCGCCUUCUGGGCACACUCUGCCCUCUGGCCUGCCCAGCUCUUUGCAGAUCCAGCAAAUGGCUUUAGCUUCCUGCUGGCCUCUCCUUGUCGCUGCUGCUGCUGCUGCUGGGUGCUGAGCAAGUGCUAGUGUUGGAGCAGCAGCAGCAGCAGUGGGAGCUGGGAGCGGCCAGGGGGAAGCUGCAGCCACUUGUUGGAUCUGCCACCAGCAGGGCAGGCCAGGAGGCAGAGUGUGCCCAGAAGAUUUGUGAGGUCCAGUUCUUCAUUCCUAAACCAGCUGAUUGAUCCCGCUUUACGUGUGCAGCUGUGUCUUGGUAUGGUGCUUCCUGUCUCUUCCGGUCUUUCCAGCUAGACUAAUCUUCCAACAGACUGGUCCCUGUGGAGUGUUCGUGGAGACUUCCCUCCAUCAGAAGCGUUUCUGUAGCUGGCUGCUGCUAUCAUUUCUUAUGUGUACUUUUUUUUUUUUUUUAAUAUGGUGCUAUUUUAAAAAUGUGUGACUGAAUGUGCUUGCUGCCUUGAGUGCUUCGUUACAAAAUAGAAAGGCAAGAUACAAAUCUUAAAAUAAAUAAAACUUGUUCUUCCCCUAACAA